rnacentral:tRNA from 1 species
GCCCCGGUGGCUUAGUGGUUAGAGCAGCGGCCUCGUAAGCCGCGGGUCGCGGGUUCAAAUCCCGCCCGGGGCUCCA